rfam:Ornithorhynchus anatinus chromosome X5, whole genome shotgun sequence.
AGCGGCGUGGCUUAGUGGCAAGAGCCCGGGCUUGGGCGUCGGUGGUCGUGGGUUCUAAUCCCGGCUCCGCCG